rnacentral:rRNA from 1 species
AGAGUUUGAUUAUGGCUCAGGACGAACGCUGGCGGCGUGCCUAACACAUGCAAGUCGAGCGGGGAUUUAUUGCGGAAGGUUUCGGCUGGAAGGAAUAAAUUCUAGCGGCGGACGGGUGAGUAACGCGUGAACAAUCUGUCCCGGACAGGGGGAUAACACUUGGAAACAGGUGCUAAUACCGCAUAAGACCACAGCAUCGCAUGGUGCAGGGGUAAAAGGAGCAAUCCGGUUCGGGGUGAGUUCGCGUCCGAUUAGCUAGUUGGUGAGGUAACGGCCCACCAAGGCGACGAUCGGUAGCCGGCCUGAGAGGGUGAACGGCCACAUUGGAACUGAGAGACGGUCCAA